rnacentral:rRNA from 1 species
CAAUAGCGUAUAUUAAAGUUGUUGCAGUUAAAAAGCUCGUAGUUGGAUUUGUGGUGUACUUCGGCGGCCCGUCACUAUGUGAUGGAGCUUGCUGAAGUCGCCAUCCUUGGGUGGAUUCUGUGUGGCAUUAAGUUGUCGUGCAGGGGAUGCCCAUCGUUUACUGUGAGAAAAUUAGAGUGUUCAAAGCAGGCUUAUGCCGUUGAAUAUGUUAGCAUGGAAUAAUAAGAUAGGACCUUGGUACUAUUUUGUUGGUUUGCGCACCAAGGUAAUGAUUAAUAGGGACAGUUGGGGGUAUUCGUAUUUCAUUGUCAGAGGUGAAAUUCUUGGAUUUUUGAAAGACGAACUACUGCGAAAGCAUUUACCAAGGAUGUUUUCAUUA